rnacentral:tRNA from 1 species
GCGAGGGUUGCCGAGCCCGGUCAAAGGCGCUGGAUUUAGGGUCCAGUCACGAAGGUGUUCGCCGGUUCGAAUCCGGUCCCUCGCA